UACGUAGGUGGCAAGCGUUGUCCGGAUUUACUGGGCGUAAAGAGCGCGCAGGCGGUCGUUCAAGUCGCGUGUGAAAGCCCCCGGCUCAACUGGGGAGGGUCACGCGAUACUGAUCGACUGGAAGGCAGGAGAGGGAAGUGGAAUUCCUGGUGUAGCGGUGAAAUGCGCAGAUAUCAGGAGGAACACCGGUGGCGAAGGCGGGUCUCUGGGCCGAUACUGACGCUGAGGAGCGAAAGCGUGGGGAGCGAACAGG
rnacentral:rRNA from 1 species